CUCCCUGCAGCUGACUCUCCCAGGGCUGCCGGCGGCUGCCCCGGCCCGCAGCACCUACCACCAGCCCCUAGGUCCGGCACGGAAAGCCCCGGCGAAGCAGCGGCCAUCUUGUGACCUGGCCGCGGCGACCCACAGCAGCUCCCUGGACCGCGAACCUCCUGUCACCCUCACCCUGGGGCCACCUUGCCGAGAGCCCUUGUCUUCCCAGACCCUCCUCACGGGAGCCCGCCCUCCUUUUCUUCUGGUCUUCCACCACUCUGUCUCUAGGGAGCCCUUGUCAAUCUGACCACGCUCCUUCCCACAGUUUAUCCUCCCUCCCACCCCCAGUCACCACUGAAGCCCGCAUUUCAGUUUUCACAUUUGUUGAGUGCCGUUAGUAUAGGAAGAGGUUGAUAUUCAGGCCAUUUUGGGGGCAGUGUGCAAACCUCUUGGCAGGGUGUUAUCCCUUGAUCUUCCUGGGAGACCCCUAUUGUAUGAGAACUCUGAUACGACAAGGAGCCCCAAAGCUGCCUUCAUUCCCUAUUACUUUUGUUUGCAUCAUUCCAAAGCCGGAGAUAAUGGUGGCAGUCAUUACUGGCUACGAUCCAAUCGUUUAGGAGAAGAGAAUUUAAUACCCCUCUCACACCUGAGCCCCAGCAUUCCACAGGCCAAUGGCACUUUGUAGGGCCCCACUUUGUGGCUGAAACAAGAAUGCGACUGCAGUGAAGGAUUGCCAUCAUCAUCCCGUGAAGGUGUCCUGUACCAGUGGAGAGUUCCUUUUCAAGUUUACUCCCAUGGGAGUAGCUGUGGACUCCAGAGGGAUUGUACUGAUGGAGGCACCAGCUGCACCCCGGUAUCCGACAGCUCUGGCCCCUUCCUGUCCUGUAUCAACAGUCUGCUGAACGAGUGUAGGGACCAGAGGGACUGGCACUGGCCAUGUGGUGGUGGCUUUUGCUGAUAACCACGGAUUUAAGGCCAACGACUGCACAGGGCCCUGCCUGGCUCACAGAGGGACGGAUGUAAGGGUGAUCAGCCAAGAGGGUCUGGCCAGGAGGUGGGGUCUGACCUGGCAGCACUGAAUGUGGGCUGUGGGCAUUCCUGCUGCCUUCACUCUCCCUUCUCCCAACACUGGGGUUGCAAUUUUUGUAUCCGAUUUUGCUUUGGGGACUGAGUGGGCCUGUACGAUGGCCCAAGGACUGGUGCAGAGCUUCACCUAACCGUACCUCUACCCCCAGCCCGGGGCCAGAACUGCCUCUUACUCUCGGGCCUAAGUCCCUCUAGUUGUCUUCCUACCACCCCAUACACAUUGACAGAGACGGGCAAUACCCCACUUCUCAUAUUAAAUGUAUACACACACACAAAGCCAAGUGCAGGAUGAUACAUAUUUUAAGAGCACAUUUCCCAUUUACCAUUACUUCAUCAAAAGAGGUCUUGUCAGGGGUCUCCACUAGGAAUUGCCUGAUGGGCUUUCUACGUGUGUAAUAUGUGCAAAAACCCAUAUGGAUUAUUGCCUGAGUUUAUCUUUCAUGUUCCAAAAAACUAUAAGCAAACCAGAGAAAUAAAAAAUAAAAAAUAA